CUGCUGAGAAAAUUAUGAGUGACUGCUGAGUCAAAAUGCUUUUUAUUUUUUUAUAUUGUUAAAGAGUGUUAUUCUAAGAUAACACUCUUAAACAAUAAAAAAUGUGACAAGCUUGAAUUCUAGUUUGCAAGCCACAUCAGUCUAGAUAGCGAACCUAUGAGAGGAGUGUCACUAAGUGACAAGCAAAAUGAUUUUUUAUGUCACUCUAAACAUUAAAAAAUAUUUAUUAUUUACAUAAACCAGAGAAAAUGGUACUAGAGUUAAAAAAAAAAAAAAGAUUUUUCAUUAACCCUAUUUAUUAUUGAAAAAUUAGGUUUCUUUAUUACAAUCAUUACUACAAUUUCUAUUAUAACUUGUGAAUAAAACGUAAGACAUAAAAAAAAGAAAUAAUAAUAUUUACAAUAAAGAUUUCGUUAACAAUAAAAACAUGACAAUAAAUAUAACAAUAAAAAUUAGGAAUAAAGAAAGCGGAAACUCGAAGAAGUCCUUGAGGUCUUGUCGUAGAGAGCCUCUGGAAUCAAAACGCUUUAAAUGAAUUCAUUUUUAUUGAUUUUUUGUAAAUGUUUUUAUUAGCUUUUGAAUUGGAUCUGUUCCGAUAAAUAAUUAUAUAAACCGUUGCAUAGAAUAGUUAAAAAUAAUAUACUUCAGUAUAAUUAUUGAUGUGUUUGAUGACGUCAUAGUGUGUUAAUGAUGUUAAUAUAAAUCAUAGUCAAUAGAAUAUAACUAUGGUCUGGAAGUCCAUUGUUAUUUCUUUUUGUUACGCUGCGCAUGUUGAAAUGAAUAGUUUUUAAAUCACGUGACCAAAGAAUGUGCAAAACAUUUAUAUCAUGGCGUCAAAUAACGAGUUUUUAACAAAAGUCUGCAGAUUUAUUGAUAGAUAUUCAGGAUGAAGGUCUUUUAGAUGAAGAAUUUAUUAUUGCAAAUAUUGUAGAUGUUGGAGAGGAGUCAACACCAGGCAGUUUUAAGUGCGACGACUGUGGGAACAUUUGUAAAUCAAAAGGGGGACUUACUCGUCACCGAAACUGUAAACAUUUACAACUAAAAGAGACCUUUGAUACAAGUAGAAAUACAAUGAGUAGCAUAAUACUAAGUGAUUUAGUUCUGGAGUCACAAAAAAAUCUAUCUGAGGAUAACUGUUACAACUUAACUCGACGAGAAUGUUUCAAGUGUUAUAACUUCAUAUAAACAGAAGCACUUUACGCAGAUUUAAAAGAGAUUUAUGACAUUUUGAUUAAUACAAACAAUGCAGAGAGUUAUUAUUCCAGCUUUUAUAAUAAAAUAGUAAUCAAUGCAGAUGUUUACUUUCCUGAAUUAGGAAAACCCAAUAGUACUCUUUUAGCAACACAACUGGCUGACAAGGUGCUUGCAUACUUCAAAAGAAUGCCCAACAAGGAAGCAAAACAAAUAAAAAAUAUAACAAAUGAUGAAAUUGGUGCCUUGCAAUAUCUGGCUGGGUAUGUUGUCAGAAAGUUCAUUAAGAAAUCGAAAAAUAGCCUGAAUUAUAAAUCCAAUGAAAAUCAAGAUAUAAUAAAAAUAUUAAAUAACGCUAUUAGCAAAAAUUCUACAGAUCAGGAAUUGAUUGAGGCACAAAAUCGUGGUGGACUAACAGCUGUUAAUAAUGAAUGCCAGCAAAUACUUGUAAAAGCUGAAAUUCAAUUUCGAAAUAAAACAAAUAUUAAUCAUUUGCAAGAAAUUGAUAUUAACAGGAUGACUAUGGAACUACUGAAAGAUACAGAAGUAGUGAGCUUUUAUAACUAUCUUAACAGGAUGCGGAGUUGACAUUGAUAAUGAUGUUAGUAAAAACCUUUUAGAAAAUAUGGUCAAACUUUAUUUUCGAGUGCGAGCAUUUUCUUUGGCUAAAGACAUUACCACCAAAUAUAAACUAAAAUUGAAACAAAAAAAUAAUAAGGGUGGUCUUCGUAAAACUCUUAAAAAACAAUCCAAAGAGUAACAAGCAUGGUAUAUGCCACUUGUUAUGUGUUUAUUUAUUAAUAAAAUUAUGUAUUUAAAAAUAUAUCAUCAAUUAUUUUCAUAUGUUCUCAGA